AUGCAGGAAAUGAAAAGCAAACACUUAAAGAUAAUCAGACAGCUGGAAAACACAAAGAAAGAAAACCAAAGCAAGGAGCAGACUAUAACUACUAUAAAUAAACUUUAUGGUGACAAAAUUAGGAGUUUGAAAUCCCAGUUGGAAGCUUACCAUGAACUGAUGAACAAGAACAGCACCCAUUGGCAAAAUGCUGUUAAGAGCCUGAGGGAAAGAAACAGAAAACUGAGCCAGGACAAAGAAGAUCUUAUUCACCAAAUGAAGCAACAAACAGAAAAAAUGGAAGAACAAAAGGUCUCCAUUCUAGAAAAUCUGACAAAAAGAAUAAAACAUCUUUAUACCCAGCACACAUUGACUUUGCAGGAACUUCACACCAUCAGUCUAUAUGUGGAGAGAGUGCAUGACCUCGUGAAUUUCCAGAUAAAAAUUCUUCAACAAAAGUCUGAAAAGACAGAAGAAGAAAAAUCCGAUGUGCCAGUGAUUUUAAAAUUAAAGGCAGAACAAGCAGCUAAUGAAGAGAAGCCUGAAUGCUUAAUGGAAACAGAACCUCUUUGGCAAGCACACGUCAUGUUGCAAAAGAUACAGGAAUCUUUACAGAAACAAGACAGAGAAAUCAGUGAGACCCUUGAAAGUGAAAGAUAUUACAAAACAAUGAAACCUCAAAUCAAGGUGCUAAUGUUCUUGAAAAAUCUUGCCAAGAAGGUUCACACCAUAUAUUGUGAUGUUCCUGAGGCACAACAGUAUAUCAGCCAGCUUAUCAGAAAGAACAAGGAUGAAAGGGCUGAUCAGAAAGAAGCCUUUAAUAAUGCUCAGGCUGACAUUCUGUCUUAUGAAGUAUUUUAUGGAAAUGAACCCAUGGAUGACAAAAGGACAGAGCUGUCAAUGAAGCUUUUCAGAAAUCUUGGGAAAGCAAAAUCUGAAUUUGAAUACAUUGAAACGGAGAAGAUGGUUUUUGAUUGUAUCCGGACAGGGGAAAUCCCCAACUGGAUUAAAAGGGAUUGUCUUUAUGUAGCCUUGGCAGAUCAUAAAAAUAUAUGUUCUGAGGAGACAAGUCACCAUGCAGAGGAACUCAUGCGGAAGUUUGAAAUGGAAGUCAAGGUGGCCAACAAAACAAAGGAACAGUAAGAGACUUGCAAAGAGUGGAACAAGUUUCUAAUUUUAAAGAGGGACACUGAAUAAAAAGCUUGGAGCAUAGAAACA
rnacentral:lncRNA from 1 species